AAAGUAUCCCUUCUCGCAAACGGUUCACUUUUGCUAUUCGCUGUGCGUGAGUGCCGUUGACUAACAAACGUGGGGGUAUGCAAGCAAGCUUAUAUGUAUUUAUAUAGGUGUGUGUGUGUGUGUGUAAGUGUGGCUUUAAGCCUAUGGGCUAUGAGUGUAAUUUUCUGAGUUGAAGAAGCCCUGAUAACUGAUACCUCUAUGGGAAAAAGUGAAAGCAUGUGAAUUUCUUCCUGUUUUUUUUUUUCCAAUAUGUAUAUAUAAAAAACAAUAUCUUCAUGAAAAUCCAUAAUCAUAAUCAUACAAAUAAAAAAUAAUUAUUCAUAAUUAACAACAAAAAACCAAGAAAAAAAAAGUGUAAAAAUUCCUUGUAACAAUAGCAAAACAAAAUUACCUAUAAUAAAAAAGCAAGUUCUUAAGAUAUAUAAAAACGACAAAAGAUAAUUGUUAAUUUAAAUCCCCCUUAAAAGCUAGAAGAAAAAAAAAAGAAAAAAAACAUUAAAAAAAGCAUAUAAAACCUAGAAAAAGAAAGAAAAAUUAGCAAACCAAGUCCCUCUUAUGCUGAAGCGAAAAUAAAGAAAAACAAAUUAAACGCGACAAAUGAAUAUAAAUGAUAAUGUUGGUCAUAAAAAGUCCUUAAAAUCCUUAUGGUAAUGACAAAUUUAGCGAAAGCAGCAGCAACACAGCACACACAAAACGGACCGAGCGCAAGCAUAGAGCCACUUACAUAGUUGAAAAAAAAAAAACAAAAACAAAAAUAAAACAGAACAGAAGGCAACGUUCGCAACGAAAUAUGGCUCAUUUGCUCGGCCAAGAAUAUAACAACAACAACAACAACAAUAACUAAUACACAACUACUACUACUACUACCAUGUCGGCAACAAUAACAACAGUUCGUGUUAAUGUUUUAAUUAGAAAUACUAACUAAAAGAACGACUCAGCAGCAAAUAACAGCUACAACAACCAUAACAAAAACAACAACCACACAAAAAAGUAAUCAGAAAUUACAACAAACAUAAUUUCGUAAGAAAACUUUUACUCUUAUCCGGUGCUGGUUCAAAGGGAAUUAGCCAUUUUAGCAUAUUUAGAGAGUGUUGGCAAAGAAAAAUCAAAGGCAAAGUGAAAAAAACUAAACUAAAGAAAACGAAAAAUUUAACUAUAAAUCUCAGCAUACUCUCUUUGAAAAAAAAGAAAACAAAAAAAAAUUCCAAUAAUAAAAAAAUUGCUCUAAAACUUAAAAAAAUAUUUAAAUAAGGCCUCAUCCCUUAAUAUCUUCAUAAUCAUCAUUCUCACCAAGUUAAUUAAGACCAGUGUAAUAUUAACUGAAACGACACGAACAACAACAACAAAACUAAACAAAAACUUUAACAAGUGUGUGUAAAGAAAAAACCCCCCCCAAAAAAUUCCAGCAAUUUCGUUUCUUAAGUAUUUUGAAAACCUUACAACGGAAAACCCAAACCACAAAAGCAAAGAAACUCAACCAACCUAAUGUGACAUCAUGUCCUGCCGUCUGUCCCCCUAGAAGGUAAGUCAUAGCUAUUACAAAUCUAUCCAAUGUUGAAAAUGAAAAUUUUUCAUAGGGUAAGUUCUACCAUAAAGUUAAUGAAAUUACUGAAAUGCUUUUAAAAUUUGCACAAAUAUCCGGUCUUGAAUUUAAAACAAUGAAUAGCGUGUUAAACUGCUUUUUGCUGGGAGAAAGGGUACUUAAAAUGUCUUUCCUGAGGGAAGGGAUAUUAAACUGCCUUUCCUGGGGGGAAAGGGUACUUAAACUGUUUUUCCUGAGGGAAGGGCCUGAGGGAAGGGUAUUUAAACCGCCUUUCUUGGGGGAAAGGGUACUAAAACUGCCUUUCUUGGGGUGAAGGGUACUAAAACUUCCCUU
rnacentral:sRNA from 14 species